AGAGUUUGAUCCUGGCUCAGGAUUAAUGCUGACGGCGUGCCUAAUCUAUGUAAGUUGAUGGAAUUUUCCGCAAGGGAAUUUCCAUGGCAGACGAGUGAGUAACGCGUAGGAAUCUACCCUUAAGAUGGGAAUAACCCCGGGAAACUGGGGAUAAUACCCAAUGUGUUCGCAAGAACAAAGCAGCAAUGCGCUUAAGGAUGAGCCUGCGUCCUAUCAGCUAGUUGGCGGGGUAAAAGCCCACCAAGGCAAUGACGGGUAGGGGGCGUGAGAGCGUGAACCCCCCCGAUGGCACUGAGAUACGGGCCAUACACCUACGGGUGGCAGCAAGUAGGAAUAUUGCGCAAUGCCCAGUCCGUCUGGGUUACGCAGCGACGCCGUGUGAAGGAAGAAGGCUUCGGGUCG
rnacentral:rRNA from 1 species